GCCCAAGGCGGUUCCGGCAGGCUGGGGGCGAGCCUGCUCCCGGGCCCUGCGCAGGUCCGGGUUUUGCUCGUCCCGGGUCCCCGCUCCGGGGGCCGCACAGCUGCGCUUCCAGGCGCCCCGAGGAGAGGCUGGCAGAAACACUCUGUGACCGUGCCACCGCUUUAGUGACUCGGAUAAUUGCCAAGUCCCCUUCAGAGGCCGAUCUGAAAGAAAGCCAGCCAGGUCAGAACGAAGGUGAGAGCUGGGGGGGGAGGGGACA
ensembl:lincRNA